rnacentral:rRNA from 1 species
GACGAACGCUGGCGGCGUGCUUAACACAUGCAAGUCGAACGCAGUGGCGAACGGGUGAGUAACGCGUAAUCAACCUGCCCUUCAGAGGGGGACAACAGUUGGAAACGACUGCUAAUACCGCAUACUGAUGGAGGGGUUUGCGUCGGAUUAGCUAGUUGGAGGGGUGACGGCCUACCAAGGCGAUGAUCAGUAGCCGGGCUGGGCGGAUGGACGGCCACAUGGGGACUGGGACACGGCCCAGACUCCUACGGGAGGCAGCAGUGGGGAAUCUUCCGCAAUGGACGAAAGUCGGACGGGGCAACGCCGGGGUAGUGAUGACGGCCUUCGGGGUGUAAAGCUCUUUUAAUCGGGACGCGGUACCGGAAUAGAAAGCCACGGCUAACUACGUGCCAGCAGCCGCGGUAAUUC